GAGGAGGUAUCUUUUCAUAUCUCUUUUUUUGAGCCACAUUUGUUUCUGUAAUUGUGUACCCAUAUUUUUUCUGGUUUUGCUCUUUCCCUUUAUAUUGUUGUAGUAAUUGUCUAUGCCAUUUUAAUGGCUCUGAUUACUUUCCUAUACAGCAGUUAAUGUAAGUCAUUCCAUGCUGCCAUAAAAUGCCUGACUAUAAGUAUUUUGUUGUACAUAUGCCUUUUCUUUCUUUUUAUUAGUGGCCUUUUUGAGUGAUAAGCCUAAAAUGGAAUUCCUUGUGUUGAAGGCAGGGACAUUUUAAUAUCACUUAAUUUGUAUAAUUUCAAGUUGCUUUUCAGUUGCUGCUGCUGCUCCCUCAGGGGCUGCUGCUGCUGCUGCUACCACUGCGGCUAUAACUGCCACAGCUCUGAACUCCACCUCCCUGUGGCUGAUAUUUUCAAGGGUGUGUCUCUAGUGUAGCCCGCCAUUUUGCCCUGAGGCUAUCUUCCUCAGCUGCUGGGCCACUGCUGCUGCUUUAAGGGAGCCAGCUCCCUGCUCUUCUUCGAGGGUCACUGCCCAGGGUUGGCGCAGCCCUCGAGGGUGAUUUUGUGGUGCUUUCAGCCAGCCCCCAAGAAUUUGGAGAUUUCCCUAGCCCUGGUUCUCACUGCCGUGAUGAGGAAAUUGAGGCUGCUCCAAGGUCAAGCAGCAAUCCCACAGGGCAAGGACUGGGUCAACAUUCUGAGAGGACUGAGGAGAGAGGCAGUUGGGACUAACUGUUGCGUCUCUGGAAGAAGACAAGGUGGUGGAGGUGGCUCUCUCUGAAGGAAAAGACUUUGAAACUGCAAGGAAGUUGGACCAUCUUGAAGGAGUGCUUGAGUGAGUGAUUACUUCACAUUGGUGUACAGUGUGGGUUAAUCAUCAUUUCUAUCUUGAUCUUGUGUGGACCUGCAGAGCUGUCUUUGGGAUUUCUGCUUUAUGAAAGGAAAUACUCCUAUGUUGUGAGAUUUCUUUGGUCCCUUUGUAAAGUUUAGGAUUUUAAUAUCUGGUGUGGGUUAGAAGUAAGUUAGUCCUGAUUUCCUUUCUCCCUCUAGUUAAAUAAGCCAUCUCUCUCUCUCUCUCUCUCUCUCUCUCUCUCUCUCUCUCUCUCUCUCUCUCUCUCUCUCUCUCUCUCUCUCUCUCUCUCUCUCUCUCUUUUUCUUUCUUUCUUUUAACCCACCCUAUAACGAUAUCUAAGAUCAGAUUUGAACUCAGAUCUUCCUGAUUCCAGACUCAGUGCUCUGAUAACCAUUCCAUUUAGCUCCCUAACUAAAAAUAUA
rnacentral:lncRNA from 1 species